UAGCAAUUAUUUUAGAAAUGGAUAAAUGAAGGAACAGUGUUGAUAUUCACUUUUAAACUUAGGAUUGCUGAUUUAUGGUCAAAUUCAGGAGAGGAAUAACAACCUUCAUUUAAAGUGUCAUUAAGUGAUAAUAAACCAGCUCCAGUUUUCCACCAUCUUUACAUUUAGAUCCAGUGUUGGUUUGAGCUAUUAUAUCUGUGUGUCUUUACAGGCCGUCCUGGGCCUCAUGGCCCAACAGGUUAUCCAGGCGUUCCAGGUGUUCCAGGUGAUCAUGGCGGUCUUGGACCACCAGGCCCACCCGGACUAAAUGGACCUCAAGGGCUCCCAGGACCACGAGGUCUGGAUGGACUGGAUGGGCUGAGAGGUCCAAAAGGAAUAAAAGGAGCAAGUGGCACUGGUAUCCCAGGCCCCCGAGGACCAGACGGUU
rnacentral:lncRNA from 1 species